UACGUAGGGUGCAAGCGUUGUCCGGAAUUAUUGGGCGUAAAGAGCUCGUAGGCGGUUCGUCGCGUCGAAUGUGAAAACCCGGGGCUCAACUCCGGGCCUGCAUCCGAUACGGGCAGACUAGAGUUCGGUAGGGGAGACUGGAAUUCCUGGUGUAGCGGUGAAAUGCGCAGAUAUCAGGAGGAACACCGGUGGCGAAGGCGGGUCUCUGGGCCGAUACUGACGCUGAGGAGCGAAAGCGUGGGGAGCGAACAGG
rnacentral:rRNA from 1 species